ACAAAAUGACACCUCAUCACAAAAUGACAUUUUUUGCAAACUUGCUCAAAAGUGAAAUCCAAUGUCGCCAUCGGAUUCCUUGUGUUUUUCUACCCCAAAAACAUAUAUCACACUAACAUACUUGCAUGCAUAAAAAUAACACAAAACAAAAAAGAAAAUCUACUCUAAAUCCUAAAUCACUUAUAUGUCAAAUUACUGCCAGAUUUGACAUAUGCNUUAGUGCAUGACAGGUGGGCCCUAUGGCCCACCAUUAGUGCCCCCUUAGUGCAUGACAGGUGGGCCCUGUGGCCCACCAUUAGUGCCCCCUUAGUGCAUGACAGGUGGGCCAUGUGGCCCACCAUUAGUCGCACACCUACAACACAACAAUACAUAGAGAAAUUAAAGGGGGGUAGGGGCCUCGAACCCACCACCUCACGGCUACACCACACAACAGCUACCACUGGGCUACGCAU
rnacentral:lncRNA from 1 species